UACGGAGGGAGCUAGCGUUGUUCGGAAUUACUGGGCGUAAAGCGCACGUAGGCGGCUUUGUAAGUUAGAGGUGAAAGCCCGGGGCUCAACUCCGGAAUUGCCUUUAAGACUGCAUCGCUUGAAUCCGGGAGAGGUGAGUGGAAUUCCGAGUGUAGAGGUGAAAUUCGUAGAUAUUCGGAAGAACACCAGUGGCGAAGGCGGCUCACUGGACUGGUAUUGACGCUGAGGUGCGAAAGCGUGGGGAGCAAACAGG
rnacentral:rRNA from 1 species